AGCGAACGCUGGCGGCAGGCCUAACACAUGCAAGUCGAACGGACCCUUCGGGAUUAGUGGCGGACGGGUGAGUAACACGUGGGAACGUUCCCUUUUGUUCGGAACAACUCAGGGAAACUUGAGCUAACACCGGAUGUGCCCUUCGGGGGAAAGAUUUAUCGCCAUUGGAGCGGCCCGCGUCUGAUUAGCUCGUUGGUAAGGUUACGGCCCACCAAGGCGACGAUCAGUAGCUGGUCUGUGAGGAUGAUCAGCCACACUGGGACUGAGACACGGCCCAGACUCCUACGGGAGGCAGCAGUGGGGAAUCUUGCGCAAUGGGCGAAAGCCUGACGCAGCCAUGCCGCGUGAAUGAUGAAGGUCUUAGGAUUGUAAAAUUCUUUCAGCGGGGACGAUAAUGACGGUACCCGCAGAAGAAGCUCCGGCUAACUUCGUG
rnacentral:rRNA from 1 species